CAGUAUCCUGGUUGUGAUAUGGUAAUACAGUUUUGCAAGAUACUACCCUUAGGGGAAAUGAGGUAAGACCUGGCAUCUCUCUGUAUUAUUUCUUAAUUGCAUGUGAAUCUACAAUUAUUUCAAAAUAAAAAGUAUGAUUGAAGUAACUAUCAGGAAGCUUAGCCUACCGUGGAUUAAGACAUCAAAAUUGCAGCAGGCUUUAACAAAGCUAUACUACUGCAAGGAUAGUUCACACUUGAAUUAGCUUGAAACAUUACCUAUCUAUGUCAUCUUGGAAAGCAGAAAAUGGAACUUUAUUGGAGUGGGACACUGGAUGGCCAGGGUUUAGCAGAGCCUGCCCAACAAAAGUAGCUUCAAAAUUGGCUUUAUUCUCAGGAAGGCUCUUCCUGGACAGUGGCAAACAUAGCCAUAGCAAAUACUGGCUCACUUUCUAUCAGCCAGCAACCCUGGUGGAAAGAGGGCCUCUUACUCAGUUGUACCAGCAAGCUGUCUCCAGGAGCCGGGGCUGGAGAGACACCCAGUGCUGCUUUAGGCCAGUGUGGCUGAGGGUCUGUCUAGUCUGUCCUUGUACUCACGGCUUCCUUUUCUCUCGCAGACGCCCACUAUUGCUUGGUUCUACUUCCUUUAUCCCGAUUGGCCGUCGGACUUAUGCCAGUGCGGCGGAGCCGGUUGGCAGCAAAGCUGUCCUGGUCACAGGCUGUGACUCUGGAUUUGGGUUCUCAUUGGCCAAGCAUCUGCAUUCAAAAGGCUUCCUUGUGUUUGCUGGCUGCUUGAUGAAGCUUUGAAGCACCCACUGAGUGGGCGGAUCAUAAUUUACUUCAUCAAAAUCUCCUGUAAAUGAGCAUUUAGGUGUUUUCAAUAUUUUGCAAUUACAAAUAAUGCCACAAUGAAUAACUUUGUAUUUUUGUUAUUAUUGGGGGGUUAUCUUUUUUUUUUUUUCUUUUUUUUGAGAUGGAGUUUUGCUCUUGUUGCCCAGGCUGGAGUGCAAUGGCCCAGUGUCGGCUCACUGCAACCUCCACCUCCCGGGUUCAAGCAAUUCUCCUGCCUCAGCCUCCCAAGUAGCCGGGAUUAUAGGUGCCUACCACCAUAUCUGGCUAAUUUUUGUAUUUUUAGUAGAGAGGGGGCUUCACCAUGUUGGUUAGACUGUUUAUCUUUAGAGUAAAUUCCUUGGGAGUGAGAUUGCUCUUAGAUCAGAGUGUAAAUAAAAUAUAUUGUCAUUUUAAAGAUAUUCCCAAAUUUUCCAUCCUAGGGGUCAUGUAAUUUUACAUUCCCUCCAGGAGUGCAUGAGUGCCUAUUUCCACACAAUUUCACCAACAGAGUAUGCAUCAAGCUUUUGGUUUUUGCCAGUCUGAUAGGUGGGAAAUGUACCUCAGUGUUGUUUUUAUUGUAUUUCUCUUCUGAGUGCAUACCCCUGUUCUUUAAGGACAUGACCCAGAAGCUUCUCAGAUAUCACCUGUGCUCUCAUUCUCUUGGCCAGAACUUAGUCACAUGGCCUUACCUGGCUGCAAGGAAGGCUGGGAAAUGUAGUGAGUAUUCUGAGACAAUAUGUACCCGGCCUAAAAUGUCAGGCGUUCUACUGCUAUAGAAGAAGGAUGAAGGGAAGAGUGGGCAUUCAGGACAACUUGCUUUCUCUGCUCGGUGGGUGAGACAUUUUUCUUUAUUUUCAAGGCAGUAGGAACCCAGGGGAGGAAUUUCCCAUACUAUGUUGAUAUCUUUGUAAUAUUUGAUACCCAACGUAAAAUUUCAAUAAUAUAAACAAGUACAAGAAACCAUUUAUAUUGCCAUGCUCUAAACAUCAUUCCAUCUGGAUCAGAGAAGGUUUUGUUUGUCCUUUUAAUCUUUACUUCUUUGAAUUGUGAAAGUAAUACUACAUAUUCAUAAUAAAUUCAAAUAAUACAGAAGUAUAUUAUGUAAAAAAGUGAAGUCUUCCCAAUCUCUUGCUCCAAGGCAGCUUAAAUUCAGGUGUAUACAUUAUUUGUGAGUUUUGCUAUUACAGGUCGAGUAUCUCUUAUCUGAAAUGCUUGGGACCAGAUGUGUUUUGGAUUUUGGAUUUUUCCAGAUUUUGGAAUAUUUGCAUUAUACUUGCUCAGCAUCUCUGAUCUGAAAAUCCAAAAUCCAAAGUGCUCCAAUGAGUAUUUCCCUGGAGCAUCAUGUCAGCACUCAAAAUUCAGAUUUUGGAACAUUUCAGGUUUGGGAUUAUUGGAUUAGGGAUGCUCAACCGGUAUUAACAAAGCCUGGGUGAGCCAUCUUGCACAUAUAUCUUUGCCUCCUUCCACUGGCGAUUCUUAGGAACAUUUCGUAGAUGUGUAAGUGCAAGUUGCAAAGGUGUGCAGGUUUUAGGUUUUGUUCAAAUCCCCAAACUGCUCUCCUGAAAGGCUGUCGCUCUCCUGACAGUGCUCAAGAGAACCCGUCUGGGGAGGGUUCUGGGGAAUGGGUGUGGCAUCCCUGGUGCUGGAUUCUUCUGCAGAAUGUGGACCUACCUCAGCGGGUCCCAGCAAGAACCAUGAUGCCAUAAAAAUGUUGUAAAGUCCCUUGUCCUAUGUUAGGCUUCUGUGCCAUUGUGCUGGCUUACCCAGUGACACAGGGAGCCACAGUCAGAUUCCACAGCACAGGGCAGAGGCUGCUCGAUGCUGCAGAAGACUCUUGAAAAGGGCCUUCGGUUCUAGUCCCAGACUGACCACUAACCCCGGAAGGGGACAAACAUGUCCCCUCCCUGGGCCUCAGUUUCCUCUUACUUACCCUAAUAGGAUUGGACUGGUGAUCUUAGGUCCUUCCACUCCUGCAACAGUGAUUCUAGAAUUGGUUGACUGGUAUUUUGAAGAAAGUACCAGACAAGCUCAUUGGCAGGUUAUAUCUGUUGGUAUCUACCUCGUGACCCAUUCCGUCUGCUAUCUGAGAUCAGUCAGGCAAGUCAGAAAGCAGUUGGCACCCCCAGAGGCUUUGGAUAAGGCACCGUGGGGGUUGAAAGGGGGAAUUUGUUUCUAGCCCGAUUCUGUAGUGUUAGCCCCACGAUGGAUUCCGGCUGCAUCUGUACCUAAACACUCUCUCUGCUCUUGUUCAGAAUUAGUGUUCCUCUUAUCUCUCAUAUCUCAUUGCCUUUGGCCAACUCAGGGACUUAGCUCCAGCAGAUGUCUGCCGCCUCCUACGUCACUGGCUCCACGCUCUCUCCUGGGUCAUUUCAGCACACACACACACACACACACACACACAC
rnacentral:sRNA from 1 species